CUUUCUUGGAUGGUGUUGUUAAUUGUGGCCCUGCUGGGCAUAUAUACUGUCAGCGGAUCUGUUGGACAUCGUACUGCUGCAGUUGCGAAUGUGCAAAAGGAACCCAAGUGUUGUAAAUGGAAAUGUCCAAUGUCAACAUGUCUUCAUUCCAAAGGCAAAGGAAAUCAGAAGAGUAAUCACAAGAAAGAUAAUCCAAAGAAGAAAGGGCGCAGGACGAUAAGUGUUAAGAACGACAAGCACAAGAAUGGACAUCAAAAGAAAGGAAUAGGAAGACGAACGCAUAAUCUCAAGAAGGGAAUUAAAUAAAUUGUACAAAACAUAUGUAUAAAUAUUUUCUGAAAACCAGUA